rnacentral:rRNA from 1 species
AGAGUUUGAUCCUGGCUCAGGACGAACGCUGGCGGCACGCUUAACACAGGCAAGUCGAACGAGAGAAGAGGAGCUUGCUUUUCUGAUCUAGUGGCGGACGGGUGAGUAACACGUGAGCAAUCUGCCUUUCAGAGGGGGAUACCGAUUGGAAACGAUCGUUAAUACCGCAUAACAUAAUUGAACCGCAUGAUUUGAUUAUCAAAGAUUUAUCGCUGAAAGAUGAGCUCGCGUCUGAUUAGCUAGUUAGUAAGGUAACGGCUUACCAAGGCGACGAUCAGUAGCCGGACUGAGAGGUUGAUCGGCCACAUUGGGACUGAGACACGGCCCAGACUCCUACGGGAGGCAGCAGUGGGGAAUAUUGCACAAUGGAGGAAACUCUGAUGCAGCGAUGCCGCGUGAGGGAAGAAGGUUUUAGGAUUGUAAACCUCUGUCUUCAGGGACGAAAAAAGACGGUACCUGAGGAGGAAGCUCCGGCUAACUACGUGCCAGCAGCCGCGGUAAUACGUAGGGAGCGAGCGUUGUCCGGAAUUACUGGGUGUAAAGGGAGCGUAGGCGGGAUCGCAAGUCAGAUGUGAAAACUAUGGGCUUAACCCAUAAACUGCAUUUGAAACUGUGGUUCUUGAGUGAAGUAGAGGUAAGCGGAAUUCCUAGUGUAGCGGUGAAAUGCGUAGAUAUUAGGAGGAACAUCAGUGGCGAAGGCGGCUUACAGGGCUUUAACUGACGCUGAGGCUCGAAAGCGUGGGGAGCAAACAGGAUUAGAUACCCUGGUAGUCCACGCCGUAAACGAUGAUUACUAGGUGUGGGGGGACUGACCCCUUCCGUGCCCAGCAAACGCAAUAAGUAAUCCACCUGGGGAGUACGACCGCAAGGUUGAAACUCAAAGGAAUUGACGGGGGCCCGCACAAGCAGUGGAGUAUGUGGAUUAAUUCGAAGCAACGCGAAGAACCUUACCAGGUCUUGACAUCGUAUGCAUAGCUCAGAGAUGAGUGAAAUCUCUUCGGAGACAUAUAGACAGGUGGUGCAUGGUUGUCGUCAGCUCGUGUCGUGAGAUGUUGGGUUAAGUCCCGCAACGAGCGCAACCCUUACUGUUAGUUGCUACGCAAGAGCACUCUAGCAGGACUGCCGUUGACAAAACGGAGGAAGGUGGGGAUGACGUCAAAUCAUCAUGCCCCUUAUGACCUGGGCCUCACACGUACUACAAUGGCUGUCAACAGAGGGAAGCAAAGCCGCGAGGUGGAGCGAACCCCUAAAAGCAGUCUUAGUUCGGAUUGUAGGCUGCAACCCGCCUACAUGAAGUCGGAAUUGCUAGUAAUCGCAGAUCAGCAUGCUGCGGUGAAUACGUUCCCGGGCCUUGUACACACCGCCCGUCACGCCAUGGGAGUCGGUAACACCCGAAGCCUGUAGUCUAACCGCAAGGAGGACGCAGUCGAAGGUGGGAUUGAUGACUGGGGUGAAGUCGUAACAAGGUA